GUAAUCGCACUUAAAAUGCGUACUUCAAGCGUGCAUACCCUGAAUUGGGACACAGCUCUGGUCUCAGGUACGCGCAGGUGCGUUCCCCACCUCAGUGAGGCUCGCAGGUGGAAGCUGCGGCUUCAGGCAAAACCACACCCAUCACGGCGGUGAUGUCACACUGUUUAAACCUGAGGAGCUUCACAAAUCAACAUUAAUCCUCAGACCUGCAGCAGCCGUGAGAGGAGCGACACACAGCUUUCAGUCACAGAUCAACGUUUUCCAUCAUGUCCCUCUCAUUUCAUCAUUUAUUGAUCCGCUCAACGCUGCAAACAUCUGCACAGAUGUGAGCCACUCCUCCGCUGGACCAUCAGAGCGCUGGAGACACGGCGAGGAAUCUCUCAGUGAUUAGAAAUCAGUCCUGCGGCUCAGUGCAGAUUCAUAUCAGCUGGUUCAGACCCAACUGAAAUGUGCGUUAUUGCCGCGUGUCCCACAGGGUGAAACCGUGAGCUCUCUCCAGAUCUUCAAACCUUCUUGUUUCAAACAGUGAGCGUGUGGGGCCACAGUUCAUCAUCACAGACCAUCAGGUGCUCCUCACACACAGAGGAGGACAGAAACACCUGGACCAGCAGGUGUGACUGUCUGAAGUAAUGCACUCAAGCAGCACGGCUGUACGCAUGCUCACCUCCACGACUCCAUCACUGAAGACAAAGCCAAUCAGCUGAGCUGAAUCCACCUGACACAAAGAACAAAGGUCAGAGUUCAUAGACGGGCCCACAGAACCUUCACACCUGAGCCGUUGAGGGCAUCUGUGAACAUCCAAAGAUGGAGCUGUGACUGUUUUGACUUCUCACACUCGAGUUCGUGCUCAUCUUCAUCAGCUGUGUCACACAGGAACAGAGCAGGAAAAACAGAAAGAAUCUGCAGUUUAAAGAAAACAGAAUGGCACACAGACACCACACUGACAUCCUGACCCGGCAUUUAUCAGAGCUGGAAACCAUGAUGGAAGAUGGACUGGUCCUUGCUCUGUUGGGCUGCAGGCACCUUAGGCGUGCACCAGUCUGGAGGCUCUCUGAGCCCCUCAGUGA